UACGGGGGGAGCAAGCGUUGUUCGGAUUUACUGGGCGUAAAGGGUGCGUAGGCGGCCAGCGCAAGUCAGUUGUGAAAUCUCCGGGCUUAACUCGGAACGGUCAACUGAUACUGCGCGGCUAGAGUGCAGAAGGGGCAACUGGAAUUCUCGGUGUAGCGGUGAAAUGCGUAGAUAUCGAGAGGAACACCUGCGGCGAAGGCGGGUUGCUGGGCUGACACUGACGCUGAUGCGCGAAAGCCAGGGGAGCGAACGGG
rnacentral:rRNA from 1 species